GGCUCUGUGGCGCAAUGGAUAGCGCAUUGGACUUCUAGCCGAUCCUUGGUGUGGUGAUUCAAAGGUUGUGGGUUCGAGUCCCACCAGAGUCG
rnacentral:tRNA from 1 species